GAUGAAGACAACGCAUAUAUUGAAUGAAUAUUUAGUUUCUUUUGAACAUUGUUUAAGUGUUAGAAUUGGGACAAUUAAACAGGUACGCUGGUGUGUUGUAACCUAAGCGGGUAGUAUGACAGGGAAAAUGGCUUGCUAAUCUACACGGCAUUGCUUACAUAUAAGCAUGUUUUCAUUGUCCAAAAAGGAAAAUUGUAGAUGAUACAGCUCUGCAAUAUUCUGUAAAGAAACCAAGGACUUGCGGAGUACAGGAGAAAGGUAGUUUUGUGAACAAGUCACAUAAAUUGGUUUGAGAUUUAUGUCAAUUAGUCAAAGAAGACAAUGAUAUUUCAGGUCUGUAAUGAUUGAUAAGCUUGUAGUAUCCUCACAACUAAAUCUUCCAAGCUUCAAUAUGAAACCAUUCAUAAAUAUAAACUAUAUAAAAUCACCCUUGUUAUCCGGAUAAUACGAAAUGAUGUGAUAAUUCCAAAAUGCUACAAACCUGAGGAAAUGUCGGAACUUUGUAUGGACAUUGUUUUCGUCAAUAUUUUCUUAUUACUCAUUCUGAUUGUUUAAAGUAUUAUAACUGAUUCAACAUGGUUUAGAAGCUGUACCAUUUGCACUAAACAAUUUGAAUAUCGGACAUAUUGUUCAGUAUGGAGAGCCCCAAACAAGGUGUACAUUUUGCUUUUGAGAAUGAGUUUGGUGAUUCAAAGUGUUGUCAACCUCAUUUAAUGGACUUUCGGAAAUGAAUAUUAUUUUGUUUUAUUCAGUUAUUAUAUAAACAAUGAUAUGAACAUGUUUAAAAGUUUUUAUUUUAGA
rnacentral:lncRNA from 1 species